GAUGAACGCUGGCGGCGUGCCUAAUACAUGCAAGUCGAGCGAACAGAUGAGGAGCUUGCUCCUCUGACGUUAGCGGCGGACGGGUGAGUAACACGUGGAUAACCUACCUAUAAGACUGGGAUAACUUCGGGAAACCGGAGCUAAUACCGGAUAAUAUAUUGAACCGCAUGGUUCAAUAGUGAAAGACGGUUUUGCUGGCACUUAUAGAUGGAUCCGCGCCGCAUUAGCUAGUUGGUAAGGUAACGGCUUACCAAGGCAACGAGGCGUAGCCGACCUGAGAGGGUGAUCGGCGACACUGGAACGGAGACACGGUCAAGGCUCCUGCGAGAGGCAGCAGUAGGGAAUCGUCCGCAAUGGGCGAAAGCCUGACGGAGCAACGCCGCGCGAGUGAUGAAGGUCUUCGGAUCGUAAAACUCUGUUAUUAGGGAAGAACAAAUGUGUAAGUAACUAUGCACGUCUUGACGGUACCUAAUCAGAAAGCCACGGCUAACUACGUG
rnacentral:rRNA from 1 species